AAACAGAACCCUCCAAGAAGGGGGUCAGCUGUCCAGAUCAAUAAGAAUAUUUGAUUGAACUAUAAAUACGCCAAAUGGAAAAAUCAGCUUCAAAGAAUCACGUCUCCACAUCAGUAAUAUCUCUCCAGAAAGUCAUCUUCGUUUCAGCCAGAUUUCUUGGGGUGUCACAGCGUACCUUGACCUGACCAUCUCUUCCUUCACUCCCAGCAAGCCUGUGCAAGCCAUAUGUCAGGAAGGAGGAAUUCAAUGAUAGACAAUUGUCAGUGAUGGCACUGGGCAUGUCAUCUGCCACUGGGUGAUCAGGAGCUGAGAAACAUGAGGUGACAUGCAGUGGAAAUUAAGGUAUCAAUACUGAUGUUCAAUUGAGCUGGCCAGGCACAGAGGUAUGAAGCUAUAAGGUUAUGGCUAGGCUGCCUGAGGUACCUGCAUGGGGCUGGUAGAUGUGGCAAGAGACCUGUGGGAGACCUGUCAUCUUUCAGAGUUGAAGACCAGGCAGAGCAAUACAGGAUAGCUCCAACUGUAAGAAAUACUUGUUGAUGAACAACAAAAUUAAAGUCCUCCUCACAAAACAACCUGCAGCAGUUUAACUGGGGCUCAGCCUAGGUGUCCAGAGCUCUUUGAUGUGUUUUUGGUUAUUUGAGUAAGCCCUAAAGGGCUAACAAAUAUGGCUUGAGCUGGGUCUUGGAUACCUGUUUCUGUAUCACCCGCUGGAUUGAGCUCCUGCUGCUUCCUGAAGAGUGCACUGAAUGCUCUGUUAACUGUAUUGAUUAGAUUGUCAUGAGGUUUUGUCUUUAUCACUUGUUUUUAUGUCUUUUCUACACACUCAGUAACAUUCACAUUCAAGUUGACCUUUUGAUCCUCCUCAUAUUGUUAGAGAAAGUUCAUAAUUAGACAAAAUAAAAAUCUCUUCUUUUCUUUGCCCCACUUAGUCCAUAUAUUAUGUAGUGGGAAUAAGACCCAGUCAGUAUUGUUUAAGUGCCACUGGAGUAAAUCAAAUAGCCUAGUUUUCUUUUUAGAGAAUCACUGCACAAUUAAAUAAGAGGCAUGUGAUUACUUAAAAGUGAUAUUGAUGUAAAAAGAAGUGAUUUAAGGUACGCCUUAUUGCAAAUCCUUUGUGCACAUUGCCAAGUAGUUUAGACGUUCCACAAAAGCUUGAAAUAUGGAAAAGUGUUACCUGCAGGACCUGCUCUUUUAAAACAUCCCCAUGAGCUCCCAACUCUCAUUUAUCAAAAGCUGGCAACUGAGCAAUUGUAGUGGUAGUACUCAUUGCAGUAAAAUUACCAGCAUACAUGAACAGAGGAAGCUGCUGGGCAGUAUCAAAAGAGUCUCCCCAAAGUCACUUUGGCACUUUUUCCAAAGGUUUAAAUAUUGUUAACACUUUGACCAAGGCAGUCAGUAAGUAAAUAGGAACUUGUGGGAAUGUUUCCUUUUAAAGUCUGGUACAAAACAAGUUAUAGUUUUUGAUGUAAUCUUGUUUCUUUGCAAGGGACCAACAAAGCUUUGUCUUCUGAAUAGGCAAAACCAAAUGACAGCACACAAGUCUCUCACUCACAAUCUCCAAAUCUACUUUUUCAGUACAUUACAUUCCCUAAAAUCUCUUCCUGCUGGUUUUCCUCAGGGAUACACUCACAGCCAUUUCUCUGGUUUUCUGCUGAUUUUCUCCUGUCUUCCUCCCACAUAUUCAAUUUGUCAAACAACUUCUUAACCUCUGCAUUCAUACCCAGUGUCAGGAACCCCUUUCCCACUCUCACUAUUGCUGUACUAUCACUGGGUGCCACCAUUUCUGGAGCAGUGACUUUUGUUACUUUUUAUUACCAUUGCAGUCCCCAACCUUGUCAUGGCUCCCUUCACUCUCCUUCAGUGAAGGCUGAAAUAGAUUUGACAUCUUUAAAUGUGUCCAUAUUGGUCUUGUGAUGUGGGUGCGAAUUCCUGUCAAUACAGCACAAUUUAGGAAUUGUUUCACUAGGAAGGUUUAUGGAUGGUGGUUCUAUCCAUCUUCUCACUCAAGCCACAACAUUAAUAUUCAAUGUUGUAUUAAUUAUA